rnacentral:rRNA from 1 species
AGUGAACGCUGGCGGUAGGCCUAACACAUGCGAGUCGAACGGCAGCACAGUAAGAGCUUGCUCUUACGGGUGGCGAGUGGCGGACGGGUGAGGAAUACAUCGGAAUCUACUUUUUCGUGGGGGAUAACGUAGGGAAACUUACGCUAAUUCCGCAUACGACCUACGGGUGAAAGCAGGGGAUCUUCGGACCUUGCGCGAUUGAAUGAGCCGAUGUCGGAUUAGCUAGUUGGCGGGGUAAAGGCCCACCAAGGCGACGAUCCGUAGCUGGUCUGAGAGGAUGAUCAGCCACACUGGAACUGAGACACGGUCCAGACUCCUACGGGAGGCAGCAGUGGGGAAUAUUGGACAAUGGGCGCAAGCCUGAUCCAGCCAUACCGCGUGGGUGAAGAAGGCCUUCGGGUUGUAAAGCCCUUUUGUUGGGAAAGAAAAGCAGCAGGUUAAUACCCCGCUGUUCUGACGGUACCCAAAGAAUAAGCACCGGCUAACUUCGU